CUCUUCUCCCCUUCCCUUUCCCCGCUCCCUCCCUUAUCCGCUUUCCCUUCCCCCGCUGGUUUAGUUUCUCUUCCCUCCGCGCUGUCCCUCCUCUGCUCGGGCGGACUCAGGUGCGGCCCCGGCGGGGUGUCCCGAAGUUGAUUAUUCAGCAUAUCCAAAGAUGAAGAGGAAACUUGCGACAGCUGGGACCUUGAGGCUUAGUCCUAAUGAAGAAGCCAUGUUUCUGAAAGAAGAAUAUGAAAGAAGAAGAAAACUAAGGUUACAACAGGUCAGAGAGCAGCAGAAGUAUAUCUCCUGCCAGAUAAGGCAGAAGGUAAAGCAGAGGAGAGAAGAACAACUGCAUCAGUUAGAGGAGGCACUGAGAGCUGAAUGGCAGAAGGCACAGGAUGAGAGGAUGAAAGCCCUGGAAGAACUUUAUCUGUCAAGCUUAAGAGCAAUUGGGGAGGGUCACCGACAGGCCAAGGAAAACGAACCUGACUUAGAAGCUCUGGCAAAGCAAGCAGAGGAGAGGAAACAAAGAGCAGAGAUGAGACAUAGAAAAGCUCUGAUAGAGCAGAAGCACCAAAAAGAAAAAUUACUUUGUGAGCAAGCCAGACGAGCAGAUGCACGCAAACGUGCUCUGGAAGUGGAAAGACAAAGAGCAGCCAAAGUUGCAAGCCUGCCACCUCCUCCACCACGUCCUUUUGAGAGUUUUGAAGUGAAGAAGAUCCUUGGGAUGAAGCCCUGUGGUGCUGGCAACUUUUCUGUUACACGUUACCAUAUUGCUGAAGCUUUGGUGGACAGAGAAGUGGAUGGAGAGCAGCCAGAUGCUCAUUUAGCUGCUGAAGAAGAAGGAAGACGUUUGGAGGAACUGCACAGGGAGGCAGAGAGGGAAAGAAGAAAGCAGCUUGAAAAGGCACAUAUUAGAGGAAGUCAUGCCUUGAAGAAGAUCCAAUUGGCCAAGGACAGGGAAAGACUCCUGGAAGAACUGGAGCAAAUGCACGCUCUGGAUCGGAUGCGCAGGAGACAGGUUGUUGCCCAGAUGCCACCUCAGCUUUCAGUGCUACCAUACAAACGCAUGGAAAUAAAAGAAGAAUGGCAGAGAGAACUGGAGUCUGCAUUUGAAGAAAUGUGCAGUGAAGACAGGAACAUGAAAGGAGAGCUGAUUCUGCAGUUUGAGCCACAACCUUUGCCAGCCCCUUCUGACAGAGCUCAAGAUAAUGAUCUUGAUAUCUCCUUGGAGCAUGAAUCUGCUUGUGACACUCAACCAGAGCUUCCUUGUGAUACUCAACGAGAAUCAGGACAUGUGAUAGAAGAGGAGGUCCCUAAUGAACCAGAAAGGCAUGAAGAAGGAAAAACUUGCCAACCUCGAUCAAAACUUGCCUUAAAGAAACUGUUGAACAAAAUUAGAAGCCAAAAAGAGGAAUGGACAUCAAAAAGUGAGAAAGCGAGUCAAAGUGAAUUUGAAACUAUUGAAUCAGGCACAGUUGCUAGUGAAAAGAGACCAUUAUGUGAUUUGGAACUUAACAAGGAGCAGCAGAAAAAUACAGUGUCUGAAGCCAAAGACUCUAUGAAAAUGUUGGAAAAUACAGUUGCAGAUGAAAAGUCAGUUCUAAUCCAUCCUCAAGAACAAGCAGCUAAAAUCAGAAUGGAAGAGGCAGCUAAAAUAAGAAUGGAAGAGGAGAGACAGAAGUGGAAUGAGGAAAUAGAGAAACAGAAACAGGAGCAGCUGGCCUUGAUUAAAAAAAUUGAGGAAGAGAAAGCUCUUUUGGAGGCUGAUUAUCUGAAGAUCCAAAUGCAAACAUGUUUGGAGCAGGCUAAGAAAAAAAAGGAAGAGGAAGAGCAAAGUCAGCUGGUGCAAAGCCACAGUCUCCAUUCCACAGAUCAGCAGAACCAAAUGGAAGAUGAGACUGGAAAUGUAUCAGAAACCAGGAGUCCAGGAGAAGACAGUCAUAGACAGACGAUACAUAAUUUUCAACAACGCCUUCUGCAGCAAAAAAGGUUGCACAAACAAACCAUUGAAGAAGCUAGAAAGAAUCUACAGGAGUAUCAGAAUACACUGAGGCAAAGGUACUUGUCUGCUUCUGAAAUACCUCUGAGCACAAGGGAAACAAAACCCAUUAGUUUAGAGCCUGUCUCAGAGCCACCCCUACAGAUGCAAGGAGCACAGCCAACACAGUACCAGGCACCGGAACAAGUUCAUGCCCAAGAGUAUGUGCGGUCAUUACCUGUGUUUUCAGGAGCAAUGGGUAUGUUGGAAAAACCAUCUUCACAGAAGCAGCAAGAGCAAGUGCAUAAUAUUUGUCCUGGAAAAUCAGUGCAGUUUUCAGAAGCUUCAGAAUUGAAGCAUGGAGGGUUUCACUUGCCCUGUGACUAUCCUUCACAGGAACAAGUAGGAAUAUUUGAAACUGCCAAUAAUCACAUCAGAGAACUACUCCAAUCCCAUUUACCAUCAGGGUCAGUCAGGAAGGAAGUGACUGCAGUAAGAACACACCCAGAAGCACACCAACAACACUUUAUUAUGUUGCCUGCAGAAAGUUCCUCUGAGUCUUCAGAAACAGUACACUCUAAAGAGUUACCUCAGAAGAUAUCUAACUGUCCAAACAAGACAGAAGCUGGAGAACAGCAUCCAUUUAAGACAUCCCUCAUGCCAGCCACAAAGAGAUCAGCCUUGUCUGAUGCUUUAGCCUAUCAACAGGGAUCUGUAGAGAGCAGCAGCAAAACAAGCCCUGAUCAACCUCUCAAGCUUUCUGAACCCACAGUUCUAGCACAUGAAGAAUCUAAAGUCCAGGGAGUUGAGAAAUUCUCAGUAUCAAAAGCAGGAGAUGUAUCUUCGUUAAAUUAUUCUGGUAUACUGAGCUUAAGGGACAGAGUGUUGGCCUCAUCAGAAAGCAUCCAAGCUCAGCAAAAGUAUUUGAAAGAAUUGCAAGAGCAGCUAGAUGCACAAAGAGAAGCUCUUCUUUCUAAACAGAGAAUACAAGAAAAACUACUUUUACAGAAGCAAGAUAAAUUGAAGGAACAGAUGCAGAGACAGCAACAGGCUUUGAAAGAGCUUCUAAACAAGCAGGUGAGAUAUAUGUGCCCAAAUGAAGAAAUGACAGAGGCACAAAAGUCUGUCAGGAUUAAGAUAACUGACUUCUUCCAAGUCUCAGAAAACUACCAGCAAGAGAAUUGUGCCAGGAAUAAAUUUCACGGGAGUGAAACAAUUUCACGGUGCAUUGGCCCAGUUGAGCAAACUGAACAAGCUGAGAAAGUUCUCUGUAGAGAGCAGAAAUGGAGAUCUUCCAAACCACCAGUGACAAAAGUCAAGUUAAGGCUUGGUUUGGAACAACAUGAACUUAGUGUUAUACCAGAGGUAGACACACCGAAGAGUUGCAGCCUCUCCUUGGCAGGUGUUUUAAAUUCAGGUAAAACAGAUGAUGGUACUGGAGAAAUUUCUCAGAUUUCGACCUCUGGGGAAUUUGCAUGUGUGAAACAUCACAGUCAUGCUCUUCGUGAAGUUGCUUUUCCCUCGGGCAUAACAAACUAUGAAGGAAAAGCCUCCAAUGGAAGUCCAAGGCAAAGUAGUCCAUCAGGAAGAUUAUUACAAGAGUUGCUGAAGAUGGCUGCUGAAACUUCAUGUGAUUCAGCCCAGUCCCAGGAUUCUCAAGUGUCUCAAGAUUCACCAGUUGUCGCUACUGAAGGUGGAGAGAGACUUAGAACAAGUUCUGGACCAUCAUUCAGGCUUGAUAAUACGGAAGUGCCAGGUUCAGAGGCUUCUAUGCAACGAAUACCCUGUGAUGGAACUUCAACAGUUUCCACUGGCACCUUUUCAACCAGUGAAAUGUUGAAUGCAAGCCCGCUUGACACCGGAUUGUCUUCUGAUAGUAAAGAAGAUGGAAUUUUGAGAGAAACAGGAAGCCACCCUUGGAACUCCUCGCUUCCUUUUACCUCGCAGCGAAGGCAGGAGAAUUUGUCUGGAGCAUCUGAAAGUCAGUUGUCUGAAGGAGAGAUGUGCUUUUAUAAAGAAAACCAGAUACAGCAGAUCUUGGGGAGAUCUACUGGGAACUUGAGCUCUUGCUCAGAAGACAAUACACAUUUCCAAGCUCUAGCAACUGAACUCUGUUUUCCUGAAAUGGAGGGACCUUUUCCAAACUUCCAUCACCAGAUUUUUCAGCCUUUGGAACCAAGUGUUGACUUUGAUACAUCAUCAUCCUCAUCCUGUUCUCAAUACAGAAUUUCCCAACACAGUAAAGAAUUUAUCAAGACUUCGGAAUUUUUAACAGGAAGUCCAGAUGUGUCUACAUUUCUAGAAGAGGAAAACUCUGGUCUGAAUGGACAAAGAAGCAGUCUUCCUUCUAGUCUUGAAACAAGUGGGCAAAACAUUUCAUCAGAAGGAUUGGUUAGGGAAAACGUUACUCCAGGAUCUGAAGAAUCUUUUCACCCACUGCAAUUAGACUGUACUCUGAGUGAUGACUGUCAGAAUGCUGAUCAGCCAGGGAAUAUGAACAUUGUGUCACAGAGACCUUUUGAACAAACCCCUGGAAUUAAAAACAGAGGCAAUGAGAGCUGUAUUACACCUGCAAGUGGAUAUGAAGAGCUGUCAAGAAGUAUGGGUUGUAUUAAUCUCCAGUGUUCAGCGGAAGAUCUGCAGAAUGAAAGUCUGAUUCACCUGGAAAAGCCAAAAUCAUUUUAUCAACUAGAUCUCGUACCAGUUACAAUGGAUGAAUCUUUCCCUCAGCAGUUAGUAAAAGAGACUGUGUCUUCUGAAAAAUUGCCUUUGGAGGCACUUGGUAAGAAGAAGGACGUGAAGCUUCCUGAAAAAUCAGUUCCUGUAGAUGAAGUAAAUAAAGCUGUGGAGCUGCAUUCUCAAUGCAAUGUGGAUAUAAAGGAGCCAGACCAAAGCUUUCCAGAAGGACAAGAAUCUCUGAGGGUUCUCAGAGAAACCAACUUGGAAGACUCAGACAUGGGUUUGCACACUGUUGUACAGCAGAACAGUUCUUUAUUCCAAGGACAUGAAAAACAUUCUCAUGCUGCGCCCAGAAGCUCAAGUCAUGUUCCAGUCUGGGAGACUGAGUCAGGGCAUGGUAUUAUGGAAGAACCUGAGCUCACUCUGAUAAGCUCCAAUGACAUCAGUAUUGUAGAAUCAGACAGUGAACAUCCUAACCAAGAGAAAAUUAAGGAGGAUGCAAUGCAGAACUCAGCAUGUGUGGAUCAGUGUGAAUGUAAUGUUUAUCCUGAGGAGAGAGAAUUUCUACCACUAGCUCCAGAUGCAGAUGAUUCAGCUUUCAUAAGGCCUGACAGUUCUCCCAAAUCGCAGAGUCCCAACAAGAGUCACUGUCCAUCACAUCAGACUGCAGUGAUGCUACUGGAGUUUGCAGCUACACCCGGAAGUUUACAAAAAUAUUUUUUAAAAAGAAAGCAGAAUUUCAUCCAGGAAUCUCUGAAAAGAGUAGAAGCAAUAAAAAAUAAGGAGAGAGAAAAUGAAAAGCUGGAAGCAAGAAAGCUUCUAGGAGGAAAGUCGGAUAAUCUAAGAAGCAGACAGAAGGAGUCUGGUCUUCUCUCUGGAAAAAAUGGUGCACUUGCCAAUCAGUUGAAAAAAGUAGGAGAAGUGAAAGUAUCUUCUCCAGAGGAUAGGAAGUCUGGAGAAAUUGAAAUGCACCAGCGUACAUCCAGGCUGCUGCUCAGUCUGUGCUCUUCCAGCUGGAUCCAGUGCUGCUUAACACUGAAGAGGUGGGAGAGGCGCCAGGUGUGUUUGAUGCAGGUACCUGCUGGGAAAUGCCCUUGCAGAGGUGGCACUGAGGAAGGUCACUCUGCUGCUGUCACCCUGCUGAGGCAGCUGUGCCACUUAAUGCCUGACAUGGGAUGAAAUAUGAUGCCAAGUUCACAGUUGCACUUGGGAGCAGUUACAGGCAACAAGUGCAGCUCCAAGCAGGGAAGGUUUGUUUGAUGCAGCUGAAAAAGAAUUUGAAGUGAUUCUGGAUUACCAGAGAGUGCUGUCAAAUUGUCCCAAUUGCUAGCAACUGAGCCAGGGCAAAACCUUGUUACCCUGCUUCAUCUUUGCCACUUCCUUCCUGCCCAGACAUUGAUUUUUUUUUUUCUGUUUUCACAGACUUUAUAAUCAGCUUGCAGAAGUAAAAAUUAGAAAUGAAGAAAAAAGAAGGCAAGAAACUUAUGCUAAAAACAGAGAAAAGGCUAAAGAGUUUCAAAAGAAAAUGCUGGAGAAACUGCGAGCCAAGAAGACUUGGAAAGCACCAUG